rnacentral:rRNA from 1 species
ACGGGUGAGUAACGCGUAUCCAACCUUCCCAUUACUGUGGGAUAACCUGCCGAAAGGCAGACUAAUACCGCAUAGUCUUCGUUGAUGGCAUCAGAUAUGAAGUAAAGAUUUAUCGGUAAUGGAUGGGGAUGCGUCUGAUUAGCUUGUUGGCGGGGUAACAGCCCACCAAGGCAACGAUCAGUAGGGGUUCUGAGAGGAAGGUCCCCCACAUUGGAACUGAGACACGGUCCAAACUCCUACGGGAGGCAGCAGUGAGGAAUAUUGGUCAAUGGACGGAAGUCUGAACCAGCCAAGUAGCGUGCAGGGUGACGGCCCUAUGGGUUGUAAACUGCUUUUGUAUGGGGAUAAAGUUAGGGACGUGUCCCUAUUUGCAGGUACCAUACGAAUAAGGACCGGCUAAUUCCGUGCCAGCAGCCGCGGUAAUACGGAAGGUCCAGGCGUUAUCCGGAUUUAUUGGGUUUAAAGGGAGCGUAGGCUGGAGAUUAAGUGUGUUGUGAAAUGUAGACGCUCAACGUCUGAAUUGCAGCGCAUACUGGUUUCCUUGAGUACGCACAACGUUGGCGGAAUUCGUCGUGUAGCGGUGAAAUGCUUAGAUAUGACGAAGAACUCCGAUUGCGAAGGCAGCUGACGGGAGCGCAACUGACGCUUAAGCUCGAAGGUGCGGGUAUCGAACAGGAUUAGAUACCCU